UACAGAGGGUGCGAGCGUUAAUCGGAAUUACUGGGCGUAAAGCGUGCGCAGGCGGUCUGUUAAGACCGAUGUGAAAUCCCCGGGCUUAACCUGGGAACUGCAUUGGUGACUGGCAGGCUUUGAGUGUGGCAGAGGGAGGUAGAAUUCCACGUGUAGCAGUGAAAUGCGUAGAGAUGUGGAGGAAUACCGAUGGCGAAGGCAGCCUCCUGGGCCAACACUGACGCUCAUGCACGAAAGCGUGGGGAGCAAACAGG
rnacentral:rRNA from 1 species